GACGAACGCUGGCGGCGUGCUUAACACAUGCAAGUCGAACGGCAAGGCACUGCUUUUGUGGGGUGCUCGAGUGGCGAACGGGUGAGUAACACGUGUGUAACCUGCUCUUGUCUUUGGGAUAACUUCAGGAAACUGGGGUUACUAUCGGAUCGGAGACCCCGCUGCAUGGUGGGGGUUGGAACGUCUCGGCGGUCGGGGAUGGACUGGCGGCUUAUGGGCUUGCUGGUGGGGUAGUGGCUUACCCAGGCAUUGACGGGUAGGCGGCAUGUGAGGGGGGACGGCCACAAGAGUACUAAGGGACGGCGCAGACGGCAACGGUAGACAGCAGUGGGGAAUAUGACACAGUGAGCCGGAGCCUGAUGCAGCAGCGCCGCGUGCGGGAUGACGGCCUGCGGGGUGUAAACCGCAUUCGCCUGUGACGAAGCGUUUGUGACGGUAAUGGGUGAAGAAGCACCGGCUAACUACGUG
rnacentral:rRNA from 1 species